GGACCCGCACAAGUAGUGGAGCAUGUGGUUUAAUUCGAAGAUACGCGCAGAACCUUACCAACACUUGACAUGUUCGUCGCGACUUUAAGAGAUUAAAGUUUUCGGUUCGGCCGGACGAAACACAGGUGCUGCAUGGCUGUCGUCAGCUCGUGUCGUGAGAUGUUGGUUAAGUCCCGCAACGAGCGCAACCCUCACUUUUAGUUGCCAUCAUUAAGUUGGGCACUCUGAAAGAACUGCCAGUGAUAAGCUGGAGGAAGGUGGGGAUGACGUCAAGUCCUCAUGGCCUUUAUGCCCAGGGCUACACACGUGCUACAAUGGCUAGGACAGACGGCCGCAAACCGCGAGGGGAGCCAA
rnacentral:rRNA from 1 species